rnacentral:rRNA from 1 species
CAGCCGCCACGGGAAUACGGAGGGCGCGAGCGUUACCCGGAUUUACUGGGCGUAAAGGGCGUGUAGGCGGCCUGGGGCGUCCCAUGUGAAAGGCCACGGCUCAACCGUGGAGGAGCGUGGGAUACGCUCAGGCUAGAGGGUGGGAGAGGGUGGUGGAAUUCCCGGAGUAGCGGUGAAAUGCGCAGAUACCGGGAGGAACGCCGAUGGCGAAGGCGGCCACCUGGUCCACUUCUGACGCUGAGGCGCGAAAGCGUGGGGAGCAAACCGGAUUAGAUACCCGCGUAGUCCCUGUCUCUUAUAC